rnacentral:snoRNA from 1 species
GCAGAUGAUGAUAUUGUCCCCGGCUGAUUUAUGAUGAGAUGGGCUCAGCUGAUGC